rnacentral:rRNA from 1 species
GACGAACGCUGGCGGCGUGCCUAAUACAUGCAAGUAGAGCGCUGAAGGAGGAGCUUGCUUCUCCGGAUGAGUUGCGAACGGGUGAGUAACGCGUAGGUAACCUGCCUGGUAGCGGGGGAUAACUAUUGGAAACGAUAGCUAAUACCGCAUAAGAGUAGAUGUUGCAUGACAUUUGCUUAAAAGGUGCAAUUGCACCACUACCAGAUGGACCUGCGUUGUAUUAGCUAGUUGGUGGGGUAACGGCUCACCAAGGCGACGAUACAUAGCCGACCUGAGAGGGUGAUCGGCCACACUGGGACUGAGACACGGCCCAGACUCCUACGGGAGGCAGCAGUAGGGAAUCUUCGGCAAUGGACGGAAGUCUGACCGAGCAACGCCGCGUGAGUGAAGAAGGUUUUCGGAUCGUAAAGCUCUGUUGUAAGAGAAGAACGAGUGUGAGAGUGGAAAGUUCACACUGUGACG